GACGAACGCUGGCGGCGUGCUUAACACAUGCAAGUCGAACGGAAAGGCCCUGCUUUUGUGGGGUGCUCGAGUGGCGAACGGGUGAGUAACACGCGUGUAACCUGCCCUUGACUUUGGGAUAACUUCAGGAAACUGGGGCUAAUACCGGAUAGGAGCUCCUGCUGCAUGGUGUGGGUUGGAAAGUUUCGGCGGUAGGGGAUGGACUCGCGGCUUAUCAGCUUGUUGGUGGGGUAGUGGCUUACCAAGGCUUUGACGGGUAGCCGGCCUGAGAGGGUGAACGGGCACCAUAGGACUGGGAGAGGGACCAGUCUCCUACGGGAGGCAGUAGUGGGGAAUAUUGCAGAAUGAGCGGAAGCCUGAUGCAGCAGCGCCGCGUGCGGGAUGACGGCCUUCGGGUUGUGAACCGAUUUCGCCGGUGCCGAAGCGAGAGUGACGGUAAUGGGUAAAGAAGCAACGGCUAACUACGUG
rnacentral:rRNA from 1 species